UGCCAGCAGCCGCGGUAAUACGGAGGGUGCAAGCGUUAAUCGGAUUUACUGGGCGUAAAGGGAUCGCAGGCGGCCUAUUAAGUCUGAUGUGAAAGCCCGGGGCUCAACCUCGGAACUGCAUUGGAUACUGAUAGGCUAGAGUAUGUUAGAGGAAAGCGGAAUACCUGGUGUAGCGGUGAAAUGCGUUGAGAUCAGGUGGAACACCGGUGGCGAAGGCGGCUUUCUGGGGCAUUACUGACGCUGAGGAUCGAAAGCGUGGGAUCAAACAGGAUUAGAUA
rnacentral:rRNA from 1 species